UACAGCUUGGCUCCACUGCCUUUAUUAGUAAAGUGCUCAGCCUAGAAGUACAUUCUUAUUUACUCACAUGCAAUACUAAAAACUACCAAAUGUCUGACCUACUAAUAGCAUGAAUGAAGACAUGGCAACGAUAAUCUCAUAGAAAAAAAUUACGAUCUGAAUUCAAGUAUACACACAGAACUUCAAGUAAUGCACGAAUGUCCUUUUUUUUUAUCAACACAAAACAUUUUUUUUCUCAAGUUGCAAACAGAAUCGAACAUAUUUGUGGCACAUUCUUGGACAUGGUUUCAGAGUUAGCAGAGUUUGAGUCACUGAAGUACAUUCUACAGGUUUUUAGUAAAAGUAAUCCAACCGCAAACAUCGGUCCCGUUUGUGUCUCCGUUCUAUCUGUAAAGCCUGUACAGUUAUAUUUAAAAACUGCUUUGAGUUGUGGUAGCUACAUCUUUAGCGUAAAGGUAGCCUUGAAACCUUUGUUACCAUAAAUCCUCUGAACUUACUUCACAGAUCAUUUACAAUGAUUUAUUUACAGAAUCACUUCUUAAAUACAUAACCACAGUUUUAAAGAGCCGAUUGAAGGAAAAGUUGGACUUUUUGGGAAGUGUACUAACCACAUAUAUGUGACGCAGAUUACAGCCAAGAGAGGGUUAGUUUAGCAUAACACACACUGACAAAUAAUAUGUUUUUUGGCUUGCUAAAGACAUACUCAGAUUUGAUCGAUUUUAAAGUUCAUGUGGUUUAUUAGCAAGCAAUUAUUUAUUAGAAAUCUAACUGUUAUCCUGUCAUUUCACCCUCUUGUAGCUCUUUUGGUCUUUAAGAAGUAUAAGGGAAUCUUUCCAUGAACGCUUUACAUGCACUUCUUCUAAUCCAUCUAAUGCACAUUCAUAAAGCCUUAUAAAUGCAUUUACAAUAGUUUAUAAGAGCAGUAUUCAUUAGGGUGACCAUAUUCCGACUUCCCAAAAAAAAGGACAUGACUGCAGGGGUAGAGUCUCUGAGUUGCACAAAGCUAAUUUUUUUUUUUCUGAGAGUUUUUCGGGUCAGAUCGAGUGUCUUUUACGUGCUUCUAACUCAGUAAAUUUACGUGAUGCAAAAUUGAAACUUACAAACAGUACCAAGGACAUUUGAAGGACUCUAUAAACUUCCCCGGACAGCCCCCAAAAAGAGGACAUGUCCGGGUACAAGAGGACGUAUGGUCACCCUAGUAUUAAUAAGCAAUCAUGGUUUACAAUGCCUCAUAUCUAUCUUUUGUUAUUAGAAUUUCCCAUUACGAGGAAACAGGUAACAAAAAAGCAUUUCUCCAGCUUGUCUAAAGCUCACAUGGUUAAAAUUGAUCAAUAAUGUUCAUAUGGUACCUAUCGUCAAUUUCUCAUCCUUGGAGGAAGACUUUCUCGAUGGUUUGGCGCCAAAUUCUUAAUGAAACAUAACAAUUUUUACACAGCGGACCUGCAGAAUAAACAU